GUAGCUCUAGCUCAUCCCCCACCAGUUCAGCCACGGUAGGAUGAGGAGGAUGAGGGUUUGCGGGAGGAAAAGCUUUGGAGAGAUGGGGUGCGGGACUAUGGAACCCGCUUGAGUCCAGUAGGCCAGCGCGGGUCAUUUCCAUAAGAAAGCCGCAACCCAGCUGGAGGCUGCGGUUCUUCAUGGCCUCCCUGCCCCCACCAUCAUUGGCAGCGUGUCGCGGGCUUCUCUGCAGCCUAGAUCUAGGCGACUGGUGUGGAUUGGUGUUGAUGAGAUGUGGCUUCCAGCGUUGCCCGACUCAGACCUGUUUCCAGUCUGGAUGGAGCGGACCGACUGUGUGGGGUGAGUCCAGGGUGCGGCGGAGCCAGUAAGAGUUGAGGAGAGCGCGGGGAAGCUAGUCCGUAGUGGGCACCUCGGAUUAGGAAGUCCUGAGAAGUACUCUGAAGCGGGGUGUGAAGAGAGAGUACUGGGAGAAGGCCUAGGAAGCUAAGCCGUCCUUGCUGCCCCUCUCAAAUCCCCGGAGCUUUCGCUUUCAGUGGGUGACCCUCUUCCAGCGAAGGGAUGGAAAGUGAACUUGGUCGGGCAUUUGAUCUAGCUAGCAAAGCGGUUCUUUUCUGUGUACAUUGAGUACAUUGAGUUUCUUCUCUGCUUUCAAGAGCCCACGCACGAUGGCCACGCAUCUUCAGGUCUAUCAAACACACACACACACACACACACACACACACACACACACACACACACACAUACACACACACAUCUAGAGAAAUUAAAACCUAGAUCUAUAGUGUUCAAAAAAAAAAAAAAAGCAAAGCAGAGGAGAUAAUGUGUGAGACAGCCGUCUUCACUUUGCCUUCUAUUGGGAAAAGUUGCCUGAGAAGGAAUAACUUCCCUUUUAUGGAUUCUGAACCACCUGUACUUUGCUACAAAGCUUAGUUGGGUCACAAAUAAAACACCAGUUACAUCGAGCAAUGAAACCAAUUACAACUAUUAACAACUUUAUUACUUAUGAUUAGACUUGAGAACUUUAAACUCAGACAAUAUGAUCGAGUUAUUUUUCAAACCAGCUAAGAUUUUUACACCAUCCCUCCCCACUCCACUUCCUACCCCUGUCCCCAAGAAGUAAGAAGAGUAGAAAUGAUAUUUCAGGGAGUUUGUAUGUAUCCGUGGUCAAUAUUAUAUUUGUUUCUUUUAGUAAAGUUUGUUGCUUCUUGUACCUAAUGGUACCUUGAUUCCUGAUUCUGUCGAGUUAUGGAGAGCAUAAUUGAAGAUGGCUGGUUACAACCGACUUGGUUUGGAUGUGGAAUUGGGGCAAGCACUCUCUCCCAGUACUCUAGUAAUGCUGAAAACCCAAAUCUAUUUAAAAGGACAAGUUGUUUUAACUUCUACCACAGAUGGGGUGAGAGGAACAAGUGAAACUCAACAGCUAAGGAGAAAAUGAAGAACUAGUGCUACGUUUUCCACGUUCUUUUUGCUCCGGGGUUGACAUGGCAUUUGGCCUUUCUACCUGGAGAAAAUCAAGAGUAUGUAACUUUCCCUGCAGAUGGUCUGUCUGUAAGGUAAGGCAUUCACAUUGGGAUCUCGCAAGUCUCCAUGUAUAUUUACGUAUUUUUAUCCCCAGUCACCUGUCUUGGUUUUCUGGCAAGGGUCUGCAAAGGGAGGGAGACACAAGUGAAGUGGAGAUUUCCCUCUCUGGGGGCUUUUGUUUCCCUCUGAUGCCCCAGCUCACACUGCACAACAAAGGGAAGAGGCGAGUGAUCUCUCUUUUGGUCUCCUGGUCCCUCAUUUCCACCUCUCCUCUGUGGGCUUCCUCUUUGAGACCCGGAGGAAAGCCUGGGGAGGAGAUGGGGGGGGGGGUCAAGUUCACAACACUAGACUACUGCUGACCUUGCCAGACCCUUCUCCUUGAGAAGCAGAGAGCCCAUUUUAGAUGCUAGCCACUCUGUGCCUUUGGGUACUUUGGCCACUUCCAAAGACUGCAUAGUUGAGGCUGAUAGCUUCACACACCUCUCUGGUUAAAAAGCAUUGAGGACAAGGUCUGGUGAUUCCUGGAAGCGGUCCUCAAAGGGCCCAACCCCCACCCCAGCACUGGAGAGCCAUACACCUCAAGCAUGCCUUGCAAGGCCCUAUAUUCUCAUCACCGCAGAAACCAAAAACUCACAGAAACACACAGGACAGCUAUUAAAUAACUCUUGGAAGAGGUUAGAGGUCUUUACCUUGGGGCUGAGACAUUUUAAAGCCCUUUUGGGUAGAUCCUCAGGGGAUACGACAUAGAAAUUAAACUUGCUGGCUCAGUUUUAAAAUCCAAAAUCUCUCUCCUCUUAAAGCUGUUCAUUGAAAACGGUUUUUAGAUACCAUGUUGUUUGCUGAUGGUUCCUCUCACCAUUCUUAGGCUGGAGAGUCUCAAGGCCGUGCCACUAAGACUUCGGAGCUAGUUUUGGGGAGCCAUCCACUUUAUGAUUAGAUCUGUUGACUUUGUCUUUAACUCUGCGGGUGGGUUUUCAGACUUGAAAAAUGUAAAUGACAAGUUAACUCCUUCCCUGCCAGCACAUUACAGGAGUCUUUUCUUAGGGGAUGCCAGCUUGGCUUGUACUCAUCAAAGUGGGCACUGUGUCUGACCUGGGCAGAAAGAGGAGAUUUGACACUUUUCAUUUCAGAGCUGACACAGGAACCUUUGGGAGCCAGUAUCUAUUUUGUUUCCGACUGCAAAGUUCCAGCCAAUGAUUUGGAGGGGGGCCGGCACCUUCUGCUGGGAGCUAGUCUGGGAGGGAACAACUCAUUCCUGAGUUCUCUUUCGCAAACAUAUCUCUUGUCUAUUAAAAUAAUAGUAAUAAAAAUAAGAAUAAUAA
rnacentral:lncRNA from 1 species